AUAACACUGACGUCAUGCUCGAAAGCGUGGGUAGCAAACAGGAUUAGAUACCUGGUAGUCCACGCCCUAAACGAUGUCAAUUAGCUGUUGGGCAACUUGAUUGCUUAGUAGCGUAGCUAACGCGUGAAAUUGACCGCUGGGGAGUACGGUCGCAAGAUUAAAACUCAAAGGAAUUGACGGGGACCCGCACAAGCGGUGGAUGAUGUGGAUUAAUUCGAUGCAACGCGAAGAACCUUACCUGGUCUUGACAUGUACGGAAUCCUCCAGAGACGGAGGAGUGCUUUCGGGAGCCGUAACACAGGUGCUGCAUGGCUGUCGUCAGCUCGUGUCGUGAGAUGUUGGGUUAAGUCCCGCAACGAGCGCAACCCUUGUCAUUAGUUGCCAUCAUUAAGUUGGGCACUCUAAUGAGACUGCCGGUGACAAGCCGGAGGAAGGUGGGGAUGACGUCAAGUCCUCAUGGCCCUUAUGACCAGGGCUUCACACGUCAUACAAUGGUCGGUACAGAGGGUAGCCAAGCCGCGAGGUGGAGCCAAUCUCACAAAACCGAUCGUAGUCCGGAUUGCACUCUGCAACUCGAGUGCAUGAAGUCGGAAUCGCUAGUAAUCGCAGGUCAGCAUACUGCGGUGAAUACGUUCCCGGGUCUUGUACACACCGUCCGCCACACCAUGGGAGUGGGGGAUACCAGAAGUAGGUAGGGUAACCGCAAGGAGCCCGCUUACCACGGUAUGCUUCAUGACUGGGGUGAAGUCGUAACAAGGUAACCAAGGGCGAAUUCUG
rnacentral:rRNA from 1 species